rnacentral:rRNA from 1 species
GGCGGAGGGGGCAAGCGUUGUUCGGAUUUAUUGGGCGUAAAGGGCUCGUAGGCGGACUGGUAAGUCUGGCGUGAAAUCUCCACCACUCAACGGGGAGGGGCCGUCGGAAACUGUCAGUCUGGAGUAUGGUAGAGGACCAUGGAAUUCCAGGUGUAGCGGUGGAAUGCGUAGAGAUCGGAAAGAACACCAACGGCGAAAGCACUCUGCUGGGCCGACACUGACACUGAGAGACGAAAGCUAGGGGAGCGAAUGGG